UUUUCCAAUCUCUGCAAUUUCAUUUCCUGAAUUUAUUAGCACCACCAAAAAUAAUAAUGGUAACAGCAAAUACCUAUCUCGUACCCGAUUUUUUUUUUUUUUUGCUUUUUAGGGCUGAACCCGAGGCAUAUGGAAGUUCUCAGGCGAGGCAUCAAAUCAAAGCUUCAGCUGCCAGCCUACACCACAGCCACAGCAACAUAGGAUCCAAGCCGCAUCUGUAACCUACACUCCAGCUCACAGCAAUGCCAGAUCCUUAACUCACUGAGCGAGGCCAGGGAUUGAACCUGCGUCCUCAUGGAUGCUAGUCGGAUUCAUUUCUGCUGCACCACAAUGGGAACUCCUGGUACCCGAUUUUAACUGAAAAUAUCUUUAGACCUGCCAUUUAGGAAAGGUUUGUUACCGAGUUUAGUAAAUAACUUUUAAUAUACUUAAGCAACUACUUAUUCUUGGUUCUGCCCCCUGCCGCCCCCUGCCAAGCCAAGGUCAUUCCCACACAUUCUCCAAUCUCCUUUAAAAACUUAACUCACACAUACACAUGUAUGAUUCACACACUCUUGGUGGCCUCCCCUGCCCACCUGGCUGGGACACUUGGUGACAAACUGACCUGUGCCCUCCCGUUUGGCCAAGCCUUGGAUCAUGCAUGGAUUUGCACACAGGAUGUAGCCCAGUCAUGGCGAGCAGCGGAUUUUCUCUGAGACCACAUGGGCAACAGCGCUGCCCUGGCUGAUCCUGCUGGGCACAAGCUCUCGCCUUCUGCAGACAAUGAGCCUGACUGUCCUCUGAUUCCACUCCCCCGUCACACUCGACCAUUGCACUCCCACAAGUUAUUCCAACCAGCCUGCCUGUGUCUAGACCCUGUCACAACAGGCUGCUUCAUUACUGAGGAGAAUAAAAACAAUAAGGCACUUUAUCAUUAGUUUUAGAACAAUGAUCUCCAAAUGCAUGUCUAGAGAAAAGAUAUUCAUUACAAUUUUGUUCAGGUUGAAUUUAUCUAAGAGAAUUUAUACAUAUCACUCUAGUCUAGUGGCUCCCAAAUUUGUCUGCACAUUAAAAUCACUGGAAAUCUUUUUAAAAUUCCCCAACCCAGGCCAUACUCCAAACCAAUUAAAACACUAACUCUGGAAGUAGGACACAGGUGCCAGUAUUUUCUCAAGCUGCCUGGAGGUUUCAACGUAUGGAUAAACUGGGGACCAAUGCUUCAAUCAGAAUUUGCUGAGCUGAAAAGAACAUCACAAACUCAGGAGCAGAGAAGUCACCACUGAUGCCAUUGUGCCCUUAAAUCAAACGCUUUGUUAGACACACCUGGCGUGAGGAGCAAAGAUCCAUCCGGAGUGAAACUAAGUCUGCGGAAGAAGGACUUCAUGCUGUCAUCAUGGAACAUCCGGUAACUUCUUGCCUGCGGCAGAGUCGAAACAUUAUUCCACAUCUUCGCGUUCACAAUAAAGGCUUACCAAUUCCUAUAUUUUCUUUACAUGUGGCCAUUUAUUACUGACAAAAUAAUAAGGGAAACCGAAAUAGAUUACAAUCAAAUAAUCAGACAAGACUGAAAGAUUAAUUACUCGUGAACGCAUGGCCCAUUUUUGGUAAGGACCGCCAUGUGUGUUGAUGUCUAUGCGUCUGUGUGGUUCUACAACUAUUAAACAAACCUCUGUAGGAACACAGCCCACACUGUCAACAGUGGUUUGUCUGGAGAAUGAGACCAGGGGAAAUGCAGAAGAUAAGAAGGAGCCCUUUGCUCGUUAUCCGUGUGUAUAUAUUUAGAAGAGCCUUGGAGUUCCUGUCGUGGGUCAGUGGUUAACGAAUCCGACUAGGAACCAUGAGGUUCGGAUUUGUUAACCACUGCGCCACAACGGGAACUCCUGAAUGAACUCUUUUUAAAAAGAAAAUAGUAACCUGAUCUUUUCAAAUAACAUUUCUCCAACACCUAUGUGGAACAGCUUUUGCUGCCACACACGGACAGUUUAUAAACAUUAAGCAUUUAAUCAAUCCUCAAGACCACAAGGAACCAGGCAUGAGCCUCCUAACUACACGUGUCACCUCUCAGGUCAGCUAACUCACCCGCUCCCCCAGGACUGGAUUUGCAUCUCAUCCCUGCUUUGUUCCAGGGAGCACCUUGCUCCCGUUCGCCUGCGUGCCUGCCUCAGUCUCAGGUUCCUUUAGGACUAGGCUGUUUGCGUCACUUGCCAGGCCUCCCAUUUUUUCCCUGUGUGUUUAUUAGCAUGUUUUCACUAAGCUUGUUGUGAUCCGUAUAGCAAAACAUAAUGUUGUGAAUAUGAAAAAUAUUUAGUGACUUUUUAAAAAAAGAGGCUGAGAGGUGUUAAAUUUGCCCAAGGUCACGUGGCUAAGGAAUGUUGAAGGCUGCAUGAUACCCGAGCCUGCGCCUGCAUCCUUUUGAAGAGCCACAGUGAAGAAGCAUAUUAGUUCAGAAGCAUACUGAAAAUUAAAGGCUCAUGGGAGUUCCCAUCAUGGCUCAGCGGUAAAAAACCCAACUAGUACCCAUGAGGAUGUGGGUUCAAUCCCUGGCCUCACUCAGUGGGUUAAGGAUCCGGCGUUGCCAUGAGCUGCUGCGUAGGUCACAGAUGUGGCUCGGAUCCCAUGUUGCUGUGGCUAUGGCUGUGGCUAUGGCUGGCAGCUGUAGCUCCUGGCUGGGAACCUCCAUAUGCUGCAAGGGCAGCCCUAAAAAGACAAAAAAAAAAAAAAAAAAAA
rnacentral:lncRNA from 1 species